rnacentral:rRNA from 2 species
UUGACCUCGGAUCAGGUAGGAAUACCCGCUGAACUUAAGCAUAUCAAUAAGCGGAGGAAAAGAAACCAACAGGGAUUGCCCUA